UUCUACACAAAUAUAAUUAUCAUUUGAUAAACUAAUUGACAGGUUUGAAAACCUACCUCAUUAUACUACUAAAUCUCAUUCAAUUAUUAAAACACUUUUCUUGCAAGGGAGUAUCAAACCAUAGAUGAGUCAUCAUCAAAUGUCUUGGCUAGAUAUAAGAAGGUAAAAACCAGUUUACUUAGCUAGAUAUAAGAAGGUAAAAACGAGUUGACGGUACCAUAUCUUACAUACACACUAAAACCUUUUGUUCUUAAAUAGAUUAAGUUAGGUGGUGAACAGAAACCUCAUAUCUUCCGCUGUCAACUUUCCUAUGGCCUCCUGAGAACCACCAACGGUCCUGUAAUGACACAAAAAGAGUGUUCAUGAUUAACCUCAAGUAAUAAUAGUUUAUGUUGGGAAAUAGAAAACAACAGAAACAGGGAAUCUUUUACUCACCCUUCAAACACAAGUUCCUUCUUCUUCUGAAGCUUCAGGAUCCUUUCCUCCACUGUGUUCUCUAUUAUGAAUCUCACAACCCUGUAACACAUGCAUCCAAAGAUUACUCUUACGUACACACCAACAAAUAUAGAGAUUCAAGGAGAACUAAAGUGUAAACCUGAUUGGCUUGUACUGUCCAAUCCUAUGUAUUCUGUCUUGUGCUUGUCUCUCAACCGCUGGGUUCCACCACGGAUCCAUCAUGAACACCUACAGAGUUUUAAACAAUGUGAGAACAAAUUUUGAAAUAGGCGCAUAUCUCUCCAUAGUUAUUAACUAGACAACUUACAUGUGAAGCAACUGUUAGGUUGAGAGCAACCCCUCCAGCUUUCAAACUCAUUAAGAAAACUCUGCAAUCUGGAUCUUCUUUGAAUCUAUUGAUGGCAGCAUCUCUAGCUCCCAUGGACAUACUUCCCACCAGUUGGGCACAACCAACCCCACACUGUGUUGUAAACAAAAUGGUGUUUCAGUCUGAUUAAAACCAAUGUCAAUGAAUUAACAUAGCCGGAGCGUAGUGGGUUGCUUACCUUCCCGAGGGUGUAGUGUAUCAGAUCCAAAAAUGAUGUAAAUUGGCUGAAAACUAUUGCUUUGGCAGACCCAUCUCUUUCAACCAUGAACCUGAUCUCUUCCCUCUGCGUACAAACAUGAUCACGGUAUGGUUAAAGAACAAGGGCUCAAAAUGCCAUAGAAACUUAACAGGGUGCACUAUUUUGAGAGUAGAGACAUACCAAAGCCUCUAUUUUUGUACUUGUCUGAAAAUCAUCGAGCUUUAUCCGAUUCAAGAUGCUUGAGGCUCUAAAUCCUUUUAGUGUCGCCUUGUUUGCAUGUUGCUCUGUGCCAGCUUUGGUAGUCCAAUCCACGGUUAGUAGUUUCGAGCAUGUCGGGCAGCUGACUUUUCCCAGGGAUGCAGAGAAAUCAAUCAAACAAGCUUUACAGAACACAUGUGCACAAGAAGUCACCUACACAGUUAAAAAAACAAAAGCAAAUAUUAAUCCAACAAGUUAGUCCAGCAAUAUACAAAGAGACAAGAGACAAGAUGCAGAGAAAUUAAAAAAGAUUGAACAAAUUGACACACUUACAACACUGUCUUCAGCAGGUUCGUGGCAGAGACCGCACUCGUGCUCCUUUUUGUUCUCACCAUUCAAGUUAGCGUUUUCUCCACUAGAAGCGGAAUACACCACAAGGUAUGGAUGAUCAACAGCCUGCAGAAACAUUGCAGAGAGAAUACAUCACAAACCUGUAAACCAUAUCAUCCUGAAAGUGCAUUAACCAUAGAACUGCAGAUGUCACACACCUGUCUCAGACGGGUGAGAAGAUCAAAUAUAUGUGCAUAGUUAUUCAUCAAUGUCCCAGCCUCAACAUACCUGCAAACAGAAACGUACAAGGCACAGUCAACAUUAAAUUCUGUUACAUGAACCAAGGAGCAAAAGACAGUAGAAUAGAAGGUACUUAACGUAUUAAAUUGCGAUUGGCUGUUUUGGUAUAGUGACUCAUAGUAAUCAAACUCUUUUACAUCUAGUGCAUCUCGCCUCAGAGUGAUCUACAAGAAGUGAAACUUGUAAGUUCAAGCUAGGAAGCAACUAUAUAGUGAGCUUUAUUUACAUUAAGACAAGGGAGACAAAGCAACAUACGAAUCUAGGAGGAAGGGCGAGAUCAGCCGCCCGGCCCAGUUUAGUACGUCUUAUGAGGAUGUCUUUCAGAACUUUGUGCUUAAGCAAUACCAUGGCUCUCCUACCCAGUUCGUUGCCUCCAUAUGCUGUUAUUGGUCUAGCCACAUACUAGCAAGAUUGGAAAAUAACAAAAACCAGUUUAAAACGGUGAUCUUUAUUUAAAGAAUUUGGUAAAUAUAAAGUGGCAAACUCAUAGUUGUUACCUUGUUCCACCAACAGAAAUGUCGCACUGCAUUAUGAGUGCAGCUGUUACAGCUUACAUGCGCACUACAAUCAAACGCAGCAGACAAUAUUAUGAGCUAAUGAAACAGAAGAGAAAGACGCAAUAGCUAGGAAUCGAGUGUGGUGAAAAACUUACGUGUAAUCAAGAAUUCUACAGUCACAGUCCUUGCAGAAGUAAUACGAGUAUGGACGAAUUUGCAAGAAGCGAAUCUGGGGGAAACAAAAUAGUCAAGUCAGCGACGUUGGCGAUAAUGUUUCAGUGCUAUAGAUAAAGUAACUUAAGGAAAGAUUAACUAACCAGAGAGUAAAGCUCUCCAACACGGUUCUGGAGAGGGGUACCACUCAAAGCCCAUCUGUAAGUAGCCUCCAAAGCAAAAACAGCUCUCGCAGUGUUGCUACCCCCCCCCCCCGCCCACCCACACCCACGCACAAGCAUACGUGCCUUAAAGCUUGCUUGCGUUGCUUUGAAAUAAUAUGAUUUCACUGUUUUUACAAAUAUCUUUAUAAGAAAUGUAACGACAAAUCUCCAAAUAUGAAGAUCAUAAAUACCAUCGACAAAUACCAUCGACCAAGCUUCAAAUCUACCAAAUAUCCGUACGUCUCUUUUCCAUAUUUUUUGCAUGUUACCUAAAUCACGUGAACCUAAAAAAAAGAAUAUACUAGUAUUGUUUACCUAAAAGAAGCCAAAGGAAAGAUUUGGACACUUGUCGACGCCUAGUCGCCUCCUAACUCUGACGACACGUUGCUCGAGGACAUAUACGGAACUCCGGUCGGAACAGAAACAAAUAGUUAUUUGACUACCUGAAUUUCGACACGUCAUCACUUUCUAGACUCACAGAGGUUAGAAAGACCAAUAAGCACUCUACCAUUCCUAACCAAGUGUCACGUCACUUCUUAUCGAACCUUUCGUUAGAUACGUACAGUGCCACCUCACUCCUCUUUGCUCACGUUUCUUUAGUUUUUCUUCUGCACACAUUAUGUUUUAACAAAAAAAAAUUGGUAAUCAACUUUUCCUUAAAACUCCACGUGUAUAGACGACAUCAUCUUAUACAGUUACUUAUUUCAUUUUAUUUUCGCGUUGUUAGAUAAACUCGAUGUUACCAAAAGUAUACACUUUCUCUAAUUAGUCAAAAAAAAAAAAUUAAAAAUUAAAAACCUUCCUUAUAUAUAUACCUUCUCUGUAAUAACAAAGUGAAAGCAAACAAACAUUAACAAAAAAAAAUGAACUGGACUAGAGAAAAAACAAUAGGCCGUGGCUCGUCAGCCACCGUCUACGCCGCCACGUGUCAAGAAUCCGGAGAAACCAUCGCCGUGAAAUCCGCCGAGUUUCACCAGUCGGAGUUUUUGCAAAGAGAAGCCAAACUCCUCUCCUCCAUGAAUUCUCCUUACGUCAUCGGAUACAGAGGAUGCGAAGUUACGAAAGAGCCCUUAGCUACUUACAACCUUCUCAUGGAGUACGCACCGUACGGGACGAUGGCCGACGUGGCGGCUAAAAACGGUGGUUGCAUCGACGAGGCUCGGGUUGUGAGCUACACGCGCCAGAUACUUCUUGGUUUGGAGUACGUUCAUGACUCGAAGGGAAUCGCGCAUUGCGACGUUAAGGGAAGCAACGUGCUGGUCGGAGUCAACGGAGAGGCCAAGAUCGCUGACUUCGGUUGCGCGAAACGGGUUGAACCGGAGUUAACCGAACCGGUUAGAGGAACUCCGGCGUUUAUGGCGCCGGAGGUGGCGCGUGGAGAGAGGCAAGGGAAGGAGAGUGACAUUUGGGCGCUGGGGUGUACGGUGAUAGAGAUGGUCACCGGUUCUCCUCCGUGGGUUGGUGGGGAUUCGACCGACCCGGUUUCGGUUCUUUACCGGGUCGGGUAUAUGGGUGAGUCGCCAGAGCUGCCUUCCUCGCUUACGGAACAAGCAAAGGAUUUUUUGGGAAAGUGUUUGAGAAGAGAUGCGAAGGAGAGAUGGACAGCGACGCAAUUAUUAAACCAUCCGUUUGUAACAACCAAACCGAAUACAGAACCGGAAUCGGAAACCGGUUUGGUUACGAACUCACCGACAAGCGUGACGGAUCAAAUGUUCUGGAGGUCAGUGGAAGAGGAGGAGGAUCAGGAGCGUCCAAGCUGGUGGGAAUGUCACGAGGAGAGAAUUGGAGUGCUAAGCUGGAUUGGUCAGGCUGUGGUGGAUCCCACGUGGGAUAUGGACGGUGAAGAUUGGAUCACGGUUCGACGGAAUAAUGAUUAGUCGGUCACAUGAUGAGACAGUGUUGAUUAUUUUGAAUUAGGAAAAAUUGUUUAAUGCAUUUGGUCAAGGAAAUUGAAAAUUUUGAAUUUGAGUGAAUGUAGGUAAGGUUUAGAUCAAAUUCAUGUACAUACAUUUACUAAUCCAUCAUUUUUUUAUAAGAAAAUUCCCAUGAUUCCAAAUUUUGUUGCUCAUUGUUAAUAAAACAAAUAUAGUGAAAUUGGACUUUGAUAUAUUAAUCUAAAAUUCCUUUAAGCCAAGCAUAUAUGCCAGAAAUGGUAUGAGUUAUUUGGCAAUAUGUUUUGUAACUACAACUGUAUGAAACUAGAUUUGGCGAAGUAGUUAGGUAAAAGAAUGAGAUUUGUGGUAAGCAUACUAAAGGAUGAUUUGUGGAGUGCAAUGAUUUUAGCUUGUAUGGAAAGUGAAAGAUGAAGGCGACAAAUAUGCCGAACCAGCCGAACUGGUUUGCUGGUUGGUUAGUUGGUCACUUCGGAGUGUUUAGGCAAACUGAAAAGAUUCCUUUCGAAUCUUUGUUAAGGAUUCGCACCUUCACUCUGUUUUUUUUUUCUUGUGUGGAAAGCUUUGGUUAGGUCAUGUUGAUGUCAUUCAUUCAUUUAUGUCUUUGCUUCUACACAAAUAUAAUUAUCAUUUGAUAAACUAAUUGACAGGUUUGAAAACCUACCUCAUUAUACUACUAAAUCUCAUUCAAUUAUUAAAACACUUUUCUUGCAAGGGAGUAUCAAACCAUAGAUGAGUCAUCAUCAAAUGUCUUGGCUAGAUAUAAGAAGGUAAAAACCAGUUUACUUAGCUAGAUAUAAGAAGGUAAAAACGAGUUGACGGUACCAUAUCUUACAUACACACUAAAACCUUUUGUUCUUAAAUAGAUUAAGUUAGGUGGUGAACAGAAACCUCAUAUCUUCCGCUGUCAACUUUCCUAUGGCCUCCUGAGAACCACCAACGGUC
rnacentral:lncRNA from 1 species